rnacentral:pre_miRNA from 1 species
AGUGGGUUAGCUGGGUCAAAUGGUGAUUCCAUUCCAAAUUUUCUAAGGAAUCUCCAUACUGCUCUCUAGAUUGGUUGCACCAAUUUGCAGUCCCGCUAGCAAU